AUUCAGCAGUUUGCAAAGUGCCUCCAAGAAAACAGCUGGGACCUGCAAUCACUCGUUCGGACUCCUAGGUUGUCGGGGCCGCGGCGACUCCGCUCAGUUAGAAAGGUAACGCGGUGAGAGCGAACCCCAACUCACGCACAGACAGGACGAGGGCACGAAGCCGAGUCUCCCGGCUGGGGCCGGAGGGGGCGUCACCUCGGUGGCCGCUCUGCUCUCCGGAAGAAAGUAUGAGCCGGUCCCAGGCCACCUCGCUCAGCCCGAGGAAGUUUCUAUAACGAUGCUUGCCUACCACGCAGAGGACAAAUGAGGAGCCAGAGCGGUUGGGGGUCGGGCCAACCGAACUCCCGGCCCCGGCUGCGCAGCUCCCAGACGCCCACCAAGAACUCGUGCGCUGCCCGGACCUCUAGCUUUUCGCCCUACACGCAAACGCCCUCUGCAAAACCCCAGUCCCGCAGACUUUCUCUAGCGGCGGGCGGAGGGCAUGAACCUGGAGAGGGAGGCAACAGCCCUCUUGGCAGGCGGGCAAAAUGAGACAAUGAGGGGGGAAAAGUCCUGCACUUAGGAGAUACGAUCUAGAGCAGAUCCCUGGGUCAUUCAUUAACAAAGCUUACGAAGUCCCUGCUGUGUACCAGGUGAGAAAACAGAGGUUUAUGGCCAUCAGUGGCUGAGCAGGGGUCUGAGUCUCAUACUGUCAAACUCCAAAGCCUGCGUUCUGAACCAACUCAAGCUGCCCCAGGAUAUUCCUUGGAGCCUCUAUCAACUAAUUUCACAGAUUCUUUUUUUUUUUUUUCCUUUUUGGUGCUGUCAUGUUAAUGGGCAUUAUUUGAAAAGGGAUCUUACUGCAGAAUUUGAUUUGGUGUCUCCUUGUUGGCACCAUAUAAGAGCAAAUCUAACCACAUGUAGUGUUUUCACAAAAGUGUACCUAUCCAUCAAUUCUAGCCACAAACCUCUAAGGUCAGAAAUCUCAAAGAUUAAGCCAGAGGGAGGUGGAAUAGUCCAAACUGAUUUAGCUGCUUGAGUCUUCUCUUUUAUUUGAAAAUCACUUAAACUCUGUCAUUGACACAGUAUGAGUCCUUUCCUAAAGACAUUUUAAAAACUAACUUCUCUAUGAAAAGCAGUGAAUAGGAGGGCUAACACAAUUUUUUAAAAUCUCAACAUGUGAAGCUCAUAAAAAGUAGGCAUAUGAUUAUAUAUACCUUUGAUUCAACCAGUUUCUAUUACAAGUAACCUGUGAACCCUAGAACUUAGUUUUUUUAUUUUUUUUAAAGGAGGGGAAUCUCCACCUUAACCUUUUGGCCAUUUAAUCACUUAUUUAUUGAGUGGUUUCUAAGUGCCUGCUAUUGUCGCUCACUGCUCAUUACUUGUGAGAGCAAUCUUCAGUAGGAAUUAUUAGAAUUCCCAUUUUGGAGAUGAUGCUACUGAGGCUGUCAGAACUUGUCAUAUUUCUAGCCAAGAAAUUUGAACCCAGGCAGUGCUUUCAGCUAUUGUACUCACUCCUCCACUUUUGAAAUGGAUUCAAGGUAGUCACUCACAAAUGUGGAGAAUAAACUGAAGAAAGAAAUAAUAAGCCAAGUCCAGUCAUCUUAACAAUCAUUUUUAACUGUUUCCUAGUAGUUUGGCAUACAAAAAAAUUUCCCUCGAGAAAAUAAAACUUUAGUAGAAUAGCAUUAUUUUAAAAUUAUGUUAAGCUUUUCAGUGUGUGUUAUAAGACUCAAAUGUGUUAAAUUCCUUAUUGGAUUAGACCAGUUAACACUGGAUUUUGUCACAUUUCUACUUUUAAAUACCACAUCUAGGAAAGAAAUGUGUUAAUAUUUACUUCAUUGUGCCAAAUCAGAUUCUAUUGUAAAACUAGAUAAAAAAUGAAUCACUAUGCUAUAAAAUGCAAAAAUCUGUAUGUUGAUUGUAAAGAGAAACAGGGACUGUUCUCAUUUUCCGGCGCAACUUCUCAACUCUCAUUAUGCUCUGUUGAAGAAAAAAUGCAUUAUUUCAGGUCAUUUAAAAGAAGUAGGGCCAUUUUUUCUAGAUAAUAAAUGGUAAUUGAAUCACUGAAAUGAUUUUGGGAAAACAGUUUCCAUACCACUAGUGUCUAAUGUAGCUCUGAAAACUCUUGGUGUUAUAAAGGAAAAAUUUAAAUUUUUCUAAUGUAAGCUUAAAUGUACCCAGUCGAAAUCCUCUCCAUUCCUUCCAUGUAAUCCUUCAAUGUUUUCUCGUCCAAAAAGUAUAACCAAACAUAGAGCCUUGAAUAUUU